rnacentral:lncRNA from 1 species
AUGAGCCAAAGUCGGACGCUCAACCAACUGAGCCACCCAGGCGCCCCUGAAGACGGAGAAAUAUUCUUGGGGGAGGUAGGAUCUGUGGUGAGAACAAGAGCAGAGCAAAGUGGUGUAUUCUAUUGUACGAAGACAUUUACCCGCUGGUGCUGUGAUUCAAAAGGAGGACAGGAAAAGGUUUUCUGCAAAUGGAGAAAGAGCACAGAGACAGAUGGAAGGCAAUGGUGUUACAUUAGUAUGUUUUUGUAUUUUACUAUUUUUUUGGUAGUAAAUGAAAGGAAACCUCACUUCAAAGGAUGGAUAUAUAUAUGUAUAUAUAUACAUAUAUAUAUAUAUAUGUGUGUGUAUGUGUGUGUGUAUAUAUAUAUAGGCAUCUAGUGGUUUACCUUAACUGAAAAUUCCAGACAGUACAUUUGGCUUCAGUUGUAGUUCAGGACUCCAGUAAUGUCACCAGGACACAUUUGUGGGUUCUGGGCUUUGCAUUUUGUUGUGACAGACCCAUACUCAAAUACACUUUCCACCUGUGGUUGCUAUGUAGCUGCAGCAGUUUGCAAACAUCACGUGGCCUGGAGAAUGUGUCAUUCUGACUGGCUCAGGUCUGUGUCACGUGCUCCUCUGCUAGGCUAACCUGGUAUUUCACCCUAAGAGCUAAGGUGAGAGAAGAGGUGGAAUGCCCACAGGGGAAACUAGAAGUAAGGGGAAUGGGAGUUAACUUACUCCACCUGUAUGUGGCUUCUCACUGAGCCUGAUUAAACUGAACCCUUCCAGUACGUGAAAGUAGGGCUGCCAUGAUUCUUCCAACAUCCAGAUUCUUCCCUUGUAUGUUAGCUUGCCAGGAUGAGUUCCAUUUCCUUCUUUUGCUUCCCUUUCCUUGGAAACGGAAGGUUGCUGAUCUUGGAGGUGGUGGUCAGUAAGCUCUUGUCUCUCAGCAGCAGGUGUCUAUGUUGCUCAGCUUUGUGAUACUGGGGUUGGGAGUCUGCUGACUGCAUUCCUCACAUGGCUUCUUGGGAGGCUCUACUGGUCAGGGAGGGGAGUCAAGAAUGUGUGAAGCUGGAGGAGGAAGAAGGGCCUUGCUCUCACCUGUUGAUGGAAUGCAGCAAACUUCCUCACCUUCCCAGUGAUAGUUCUAGGAGCAGCAGUUGGCUCCAGUAGUUGGUCUAACCCUGAGCAGCCUGUCUCAGGGUGCCAUCUCAGAAACAUGUGCACCUGCCAACCAGCCUUUUUUGGGAAGUCUAACUCCCAACUCUGCUGGAUCUUCUCAACUUCCAACCAUGUAGCAUCCUCUUCAGAGAGUUAGGCAGGAAAUCUCCAGUGCCCCUCCUCUCAGUUUACACGUUUUGAUAAUGCCACUUUCUUGGCUUCUGCAGCCCUUGAAGCG